rnacentral:rRNA from 1 species
GAUGAACGCUGGCGGCGUGCCUAAUACAUGCAAGUCGAGCGAAUGGAUUAAGAGCUUGCUCUUAUGAAGUUAGCGGCGGACGGGUGAGUAACACGUGGGUAACCUGCCCAUAAGACUGGGAUAACUCCGGGAAACCGGGGCUAAUACCGGAUAACAUUUUGAACCGCAUGGUUCGAAAUUGAAAGGCGGCUUCGGCUGUCACUUAUGGAUGGACGCGCGUCGCAUUAGCUAGUUGGUGAGGCAACGGCUCACCAAGGCAACGAUGCGUAGCCGACCUGAGAGGGUGAUCGGCCACACUGGGACUGAGACACGGCCCAGACUCCUACGGGAGGCAGCAGUAGGGAAUCUUCCGCAAUGGACGAAAGUCUGACGGAGCAACGCCGCGUGAGUGAUGAAGGCUUUCGGGUCGUAAAACUCUGUUGUUAGGGAAGAACAAGUGCUAGUUGAAUAAGCUGGCACCUUGGCGGUACCUAACCAGAAAGCCACGGCUAACUACGUGCCAGCCGCCGCCGUAA